UGGGGAAUAUUGGACAAUGGGGGAAACCCUGAUCCAGCCAUGCCGCGUGAGUGAAGAAGGCCCUAGGGUUGUAAAGCUCUUUCGACGGGGACGAUGAUGACGGUACCCGUAGAAGAAGCCCCGGCUAACUUCGUGCCAGCAGCCGCGGUAAUACGAAGGGGGCAAGCGUUGUUCGGAUUUACUGGGCGUAAAGGGCGCGUAGGCGGAUUUGCAAGUCAGAGGUGAAAGCCCUGGGCUCAACCCGGGAAUGGCCUUUGAGACUGCAAGUCUUGAGUGCGAGAGAGGGUGGCGGAAUACCCAGUGUAGAGGUGAAAUUCGUAGAUAUUGGGUAGAACACCGGUGGCGAAGGCGGCCACCUGGCUCGCAACUGACGCUGAGGCGCGAAAGCGUGGGGAGCAAACAGG
rnacentral:rRNA from 1 species